rnacentral:rRNA from 1 species
GACAGAGGUGCCAAGCGUUAGGCGGAAUCACUGGGCUUAAAGCGUGUGUAGGCGGACUUGUAAGUACCUUGUGAAAUCCCACGGCUCAACCGUGGAACUGCUUGGUAUACUGCUUGUCUUGAGCCACUUAGGGGCUACCGGAACAAAUGGUGGAGCGGUGAAAUGCGUAGAUAUCAGGAGGAACACCGGUGGCGAAGGCGGGUCUCUGGGCCGUAACUGACGCUGAGGAGCGAAAGCAUGGGGAGCGAACAGG